rnacentral:tRNA from 1 species
GGUCGAUUAGCUCAGUUGGUUUAGAGCGUGGUGCUAAUAACGCCAAGGUCGCGAGUUCGACCCUCGUAUUGACCA